GAUGAACGCUAGCGGCAGGCCUAACACAUGCAAGUCGAGGGGCAUCGGGAUUGAAGCUUGCUUCAAUUGCCGGCGACCGGCGCACGGGUGCGUAACGCGUAUGUAACCUACCUAUAACAGGGGCAUAACACUGAGAAAUUGGUACUAAUUCCCCAUAAUAUUCGGAGAGGCAUCUCUCCGGGUUGAAAACUCCGGUGGUUAUAGAUGGACAUGCGUUGUAUUAGCUAGUUGGUGAGGUAACGGCUCACCAAGGCAACGAUACAUAGGGGGACUGAGAGGUUAACCCCCCACACUGGUACUGAGACACGGACCAGACUCCUACGGGAGGCAGCAGUGAGGAAUAUUGGUCAAUGGACGCAAGUCUGAACCAGCCAUGCCGCGUGCAGGAAGACGGCUCUAUGAGUUGUAAACUGCUUUUGUACGAGGGUAAACUCACCUACGUGUAGGUGACUGAAAGUAUCGUACGAAUAAGGAUCGGCUAACUCCGUGCCAGCAGCCGCGGUAAUACGGAGGAUUCAAGCGUUAUCCGGAUUUAUUGGGUUUAAAGGGUGCGUAGGCGGUUUGAUAAGUUAGAGGUGAAAUCCCGGGGCUUAACUCCGGAACUGCCUCUAAUACUGUUAGACUAGAGAGUAGUUGCGGUAGGCGGAAUGUAUGGUGUAGCGGUGAAAUGCUUAGAGAUCAUACAGAACACCGAUUGCGAAGGCAGCUUACCAAACUAUAUCUGACGUUGAGGCACGAAAGCGUGGGGAGC
rnacentral:rRNA from 1 species